GAAAGAACUGCCAGUGAUAAGCUGGAGGAAGGUGGGGAUGACGUCAAGUCCUCAUGGCCCUUACGUGUUGGGCUACACACGUGCUACAAUGGCAUCUACAACAGGAAGCAAAACGGCAACGUUAAGCAAAUCCCGAAAAGAUGCCUCAGUUCGGAUUGCACUCUGCAACUCGAGUGCAUGAAGCUGGAAUUACUAGUAAUCGUGGAUCAGCGUGCCACGGUGAAUGCGUUCCCGGGUCUUGUACACACCGCCCGUCACACCAUGGGAGUUGGUUCUACCUUAAGGCAAGGUUUCAAACCCUUGACCACGGUAUAGUCAGCGACUGGGGUGAAGUCGUAACAAGGUAGCCGUA
rnacentral:rRNA from 1 species